GCUUGCUGGGGGGAUUAGUGGCGAACGGGUGAGUAACACGUGAGUAACCUGCCCUUGACUCUGGGAUAAGCGCUGGAAACGGCGUCUAAUACCGGAUACGAGCUUCAGCCGCAUGGCUAGGAGUUGGAAAGAAUUUUGGUCAAGGAUGGACUCGCGGCCUAUCAGCUAGUUGGUGAGGUAAUGGCUCACCAAGGCGACGACGGGUAGCCGGCCUGAGAGGGUGACCGGCCACACUGGGACUGAGACACGGCCCAGACUCCUACGGGAGGCAGCAGUGGGGAAUAUUGCACAAUGGGCGAAAGCCUGAUGCAGCAACGCCGCGUGAGGGACGACGGCCUUCGGGUUGUAAACCUCUUUUAGUAGGGAAGAAGCGAAAGUGACGGUACCUGCAGAAAAAGCACCGGCUAACUACGUGCCAGCAGCCGCGGUAAUACGUAGGGUGCAAGCGUUGUCCGGAAUUAUUGGGCGUAAAGAGCUCGUAGGCGGUUUGUCGCGUCUGCUGUGAAAUCUGGGGGCUCAACCCCCAGCCUGCAGUGGGUACGGGCAGACUAGAGUGCGGUAGGGGAGAUUGGAAUUCCUGGUGUAGCGGUGGAAUGCGCAGAUAUCAGGAGGAACACCGAUGGCGAAGGCAGAUCUCUGGGCCGUAACUGACGCUGAGGAGCGAAAGCAUGGGGAGCGAACAGGAUUAGAUACCCUGGUAGUCCAUGCCGUAAACGUUGGGAACUAGAUGUGGGGACCAUUCCACGGUCUCCGUGUCGCAGCUAACGCAUUAAGUUCCCCGCCUGGGGAGUACGGCCGCAAGGCUAAAACUCAAAGGAAUUGACGGGGGCCCGCACAAGCGGCGGAGCAUGCGGAUUAAUUCGAUGCAACGCGAAGAACCUUACCAAGGCUUGACAUAUACCGGAAACGGCCAGAGAUGGUCGCCCCGCAAGGUCGGUAUACAGGUGGUGCAUGGUUGUCGUCAGCUCGUGUCGUGAGAUGUUGGGUUAAGUCCCGCAACGAGCGCAACCCUCGUUCUAUGUUGCCAGCACGUUAUGGUGGGAACUCAUAGGAGACUGCCGGGGUCAACUCGGAGGAAGGUGGGGAUGACGUCAAAUCAUCAUGCCCCUUAUGUCUUGGGCUUCACGCAUGCUACAAUGGCCGGUACAAAGGGCUGCGAUACCGUAAGGUGGAGCGAAUCCCAAAAAGCCGGUCUCAGUUCGGAUUGAGGUCUGCAACUCGACCUCAUGAAGUCGGAGUCGCUAGUAAUCGCAGAUCAGCAACGCUGCGGUGAAUACGUUCCCGGGCCUUGUACACACCGCCCGUCAAGUCAUGAAAGUCGGUAACACCCGAAGCCAGUGGCCUAACCCC
rnacentral:rRNA from 1 species